rnacentral:rRNA from 1 species
GGCUCAGAACGAACGCUGGCGGCAGGCUUAACACAUGCAAGUCGAGCGCCCCGCAAGGGGAGCGGCAGACGGGUGAGUAACGCGUGGGAAUYUACCCUUGACUACGGAAUAACGCAGGGAAACUUGUGCUAAUACCGUAUGUGUCCUUCGGGAGAAAGAUUUAUCGGUCAAGGAUGAGCCCGCGUUGGAUUAGCUAGUUGGUGGGGUAAAGGCCUACCAAGGCGACGAUCCAUAGCUGGUCUGAGAGGAUGAUCAGCCACAUUGGGACUGAGACACGGCCCAAACUCCUACGGGAGGCAGCAGUGGGGAAUAUUGGACAAUGGGCGCAAGCCUGAUCCAGCCAUGCCGCGUGAGUGAUGAAGGCCCUAGGGUUGUAAAGCUCUUUCACCGGAGAAGAUAAU